rnacentral:lncRNA from 1 species
GACGGAGAGAUGAGAAGGAAGGUGAAUAACUGUAGAUCUGAUGUCGUCUGGAACUCCGCAAACCCUCGCUCCAGCCACCAUCGGUUAUGAGCCCCAACCCAGAUCUACGGCGAGAUAAACCCCAAGUUACCCACAAAAGCUAGAAAGAAAAUAAGUUGAAGCUAAGAAUGCAAGAAGAAGAAGCAAAAAGCGAAUUGUGUUAAGCGGAGAAGAUAGUCGUAAGGAAAAGGGAACCGAGAGAAGGAGAAGAAUAAACUGUUUAGGUGAAGUAUCCAAUGCUUUUUGGAGCUUAAAUUU